AGAGUUUGGGAUCACUGGCUCAGGACGAACGCUGGCGGCGUGCUUAACACAUGCAAGUCGUACGAACGGAGGAGAGCUUGCUCUCCAAUGUUAGUGGCGAACGGGUGCGUAACACGUGAGCAACUUGUCUUUCGGUGGGGGAUAGCCGGCCCAACGGCCGGGUAAUACCGCGUAUCGCAUCAUUAUCGCAUGGUGAUGAUGUGAAAGCGGCCGCAAGGUCGCGCCGGAGGAGGGGCUCGCGGCGUAUCAGCUUGUUGGUGGGGUAACGGCCUACCAAGGCUACGACGCGUAGCUGGUCUGAGAGGAUGAUCAGCCACAUUGGGACUGAGAUACGGCCCAGACUCCUACGGGAGGCAGCAGUGGGGAAUAUUGCGCAAUGGCCGCAAGGCUGACGCAGCGACGCCGUGUGUGGGAUGAAGGCUUUCGGGUUGUAAACCACUGUCAGGAGGGACGAAUACUCGGCUUCAAAUAGUUGACCGAGGGUGACGGUACCUCCAAAGGAAGCACCGGCUAACUCCGUGCCAGCAGCCGCGGUAACACGGAGGGUGCGAGCGUUGUCCGGAUUCACUGGGCGUAAAGCGCACGUAGGCGGUUUUGUAAGUCACCUGUGAAAUCCCGGGGCUCAACUCCGGGGCUGCAAGUGAUACUGCAAAGCUAGAGCUCGGUAGAGGCAAGUGGAAUUCCCGGNGUA
rnacentral:rRNA from 1 species